rnacentral:rRNA from 1 species
UAAAAAAAGGUAAGCUACUAAGAGCGAAUGGUGGAUGCCUUGACUGGUAAAGGCGAUGAAGGACGUACUAGACUGCGAUAAGCUACGGGGAGCUGUCAAGAAGCUUUGAUCCGUAGAUUUCCGAAUGGGGCAACCCAAUGUAUAGAGAUAUACAUUACCUAUAUAGGAGCGAACGAGGGGAAUUGAAACAUCUUAGUACCCUCAGGAAAAGAAAUCAAUAGAGAUUGCGUCAGUAGCGGCGAGCGAAAGCGCAAGAGGGCAAACCCAGUGCUUGCACUGGGGGUUGUAGGACUGCAAUGUGCAAGAGCUGAGUUUAGCAGAACAUUCUGGAAAGUAUAGCCAUAGAGGGUGAUAGUCCCGUAUGCGAAAAACAAAGCUUAGCUAGCAGUAUCCUGAGUAGGGCGGGACACGAGGAAUCCUGUCUGAAUCCGGGUCGACCACGAUCCAACCCUAAAUACUAAUACCAGAUCGAUAGUGCACAAGUACCGUGAGGGAAAGGUGAAAAGAACUGAGGUGAUCAGAGUGAAAUAGAACCUGAAACCAUUUGCUUACAAUCAUUCAGAGCACUAUGUAGCAAUACAGUGUGAUGGACUGCCUUUUGCAUAAUGAGCCUGCGAGUUGUGGUGUCUGGCAAGGUUAAGCAAACGCGAAGCCGUAGCGAAAGCGAGUCUGAAUAGGGCGCUUAGUCAGAUGCUGCAGACCCGAAACGAAGUGAUCUAUCCAUGAGCAAGUUGAAGCUAGUGUAAGAACUAGUGGAGGACUGAACCCAUAGGCGUUGAAAAGCCCCGGGAUGACUUGUGGAUAGGGGUGAAAGGCCAAUCAAACUUCGUGAUAGCUGGUUCUCUCCGAAAUAUAUUUAGGUAUAGCGUUGUGUCGUAAUAUAAGGGGGUAGAGCACUGAAUGGGCUAGGGCAUACACCAAUGUACCAAACCCUAUCAAACUCCGAAUACCUUAUAUGUAAUCACAGCAGUCAGGCGGCGAGUGAUAAAAUCCGUCGUCAAGAGGGAAACAACCCAGACUACCAGCUAAGGUCCCUAAAUCUUACUUAAGUGGAAAACGAUGUGAAGUUACUUAAACAACCAGGAGGUUGGCUUAGAAGCAGCCAUCCUUUAAAGAAAGCGUAAUAGCUCACUGGUCUAGUGAUUUUGCGCGGAAAAUAUAACGGGGCUAAAGUAAGUACCGAAGCUGUAGACUUGCACACAACUUAGAUUAUUUAAGUUUAGAAUAUGAGAAACUAAGUUAUAUGUUUAGUUAUAUUUUUACUGAUUUUUAUAGAGUAAAGAUAGAAAUAAAACUUAAUAAAAUCAGUAAAAAUAUUCUUAGGCUAAAGUUAAGUAGUUUAAGUUGUGUGCAAGUGGUAGGAGAGCGUUCUAUUUGCGUCGAAGGUAUACCGGUAAGGAGUGCUGGAGCGAAUAGAAGUGAGCAUGCAGGCAUGAGUAGCGAUAAUUAAUGUGAGAAUCAUUAACGCCGUAAACCCAAGGUUUCCUACGCGAUGCU